UCGAAUCGCUGAACAAACUUUACUAGGCCUGCCACUGAUAAAGGCCCUUUUCCAGUCUUCACAUUUUUCUGAAGUCUGAGUUUAUGCAGUGCAACAGUUGCUGAUUCUUGGUUCAUGUAAAACAACUUCACCAACAAAGCUUUAUCUUUUCCACUCAGCGUCCUUGUUCACAUACAUGGCAUACAACGGAGAACUGCUUUUGCAUCAAGAGCGAGAAUACUUCACAAUCAUAAAUCCCUUACUGAAGCUUUUUCUGCAAAUGCACGUAAAGAUCAUCAACAUUCGAAAAGCUACUACUGAGAAAACAAGUUGUCAUUAACCGAAACCUGAUACCAUGGACAGUAUAAUAAAACAAAAUCCUGAUUAUAUGUUAUACAUAAUAAAAAAUUCCUUCCUUCAAGAUCCUUUAAAUUGUAUUGGACCCUACGAGAAGUAUGAAAUAUAUCAUUGUCUUAUUGAUACAAGAGCUCUUCACCCAAAUCUAUGUAUCAACCAUCAUGCAAGAGUAUUGCUUUUAUUAGUCUUUCCACCCAAUGGUUUCAUUCUGGAGGUGGACAGAAACUAAUAGAAGUCCCUUUGGACUUUCCUGAUGAUUGUUUGCUUAUCUCUGACAACUGGACUUGCAGACUGUGGCUUCCCAUGUGGAUCGGGGCCAGAAUUAACUCUUUCAGACGGCCUGUCGUCGCAUGUUUUAUCCACAAGUUCUAAAAGAAAGAAUAAAUCUUCCAAUGAAUGAAAUAUAUUUGGCUAGACAAACAAUUAAUCUGAAGGGAUGCUUCAUUAUCAAUAAUUGUUUUUUUUAGCUAAAACAAACGAUCAGAAUUUCCAUUUCAGAAAACAAAUUUUACUAAUAAUAUUUAACAGGAUUUUACAGUGAAAUGCGGAAAUGUGUUUAUGGAGAGAUUUUUUUCAUUUAUUA